rnacentral:rRNA from 1 species
UACGGGGGGAGCAAGCGUUGUUCGGAUUUACUGGGCGUAAAGGGCUCGUAGGCGGCCAACUAAGUCAGACGUGAAAUCCCUCGGCUUAACCGGGGAACUGCAUCUGAUACUGGAUGGCUUGAGAUUGGGAGAGGGAUGCGGAAUUCCAGGUGUAGCGGUGAAAUGCGUAGAUAUCUGGAGGAACACCGGUGGCGAAGGCGACAUCCUGGACCGGUAUUGACGCUGAGGCGCGAAAGCCAGGGGAGCAAACGGG